rnacentral:misc_RNA from 1 species
CGCGCAGAUCGGGCUGCGACGAAGGGCCAGCGCGAGUCGGCCAAUCGCGUCCGUCCAUCCUGAGCGUAUAUUAACGCUUAUCCGACACUCGGGUCACGGGGCCAUUGCGCACCCCUUUCAAGUCCUGAACCUUCCGCAUCCGAAAGCCCAGCGACGACCUUCGGCCACGACGGGGAGAGAAUGCUUGUCAAAGCAAAGGCUCCCGUCGGUGGACGAGGAUCGCCGCUUUCGCAUCUACCCCACACCGCCCUCAGGGGUUGUGGGGA